rnacentral:rRNA from 1 species
UUUAUCGACCGACUGUAUAGCAAAUACACAGGUUUUAGUUAAAGAUGUUUAGAAUUUAGAGCUGAUAUGUGACCAGUGCCUUGUAUUGUAUUCAUCCGAAACGUUGGCCGUAACAAUAACGGUCCUAAGGUAGCGAAAUUC